AUUGGCCAGUGAUUCAUUAUUCAUACUACUAAAGCGUCUUAGCUCUUCUAAUGCUGGUGAAACCUUCAUGUUGCAAAUGCAAUGGCUAUGUACAGCAGGCAUCAUCAACCUCAAUAUGCUACUCUGGUAUGUUCGCUGGCUUCGCAAUUCAUCAAACCCUAUUAAAUGCACGUCUGAAAUUGAUGUUUCACUUCUGGUAUGUUAAUCUGGCUUUUUUCAUCUUGUUUGCAAAACUGGUUUAUCGUUUGUCUAUUAUUGCUUCCUGAUACCAUACAUGUAAGACUAGACCAAUAUAUUUACCUCUUUUCUGUGUCUUUUGACGUUUUGCUGAUUGAGAUUGAGGUAUUGGUGGGUGCGGUUUCUCAGUUCCGCAUGGCUGUCCACCUUCUCCUAUACUGAGGUGAACAAAAUAGCAAGGAGAAUGCCAAUGAGAUGGAAGCAACUGCUGCUGCCUACCACAUUUCCAUAUACGGGAGAUGUUGUGGAGUUCAUCCUGAAAGAGAGAAUGAAAGGGUGAGUUUCAUCGAACUUCCACACUUCAGACUAAAACUGAUGGGCUAGACUUUGUGGACUAGCCCAAGACUGACUACAGCUCUCUCCGGCGCAUCUGGGUUGGAGUUUCAGUGGUUCUGUUCACCCUUAAAAGUAUCAAACAAACAAGUUUUGAACCACAAAAUUUCUCCCUCUUCUUCUUCUUGAUGAUGGGGAGGAGAAACAAAUCAGAAACCCAGCAGUGAGGGAGUGGCUUGAUGAGCUCGGAGAUGCUUUCUAUGUUGCAGACGACUUGCUGGAAAUCGACUCGCUGCUUCACAAUUUCCUUCGAUGAACUUGACAAGACUCUUGAACCCAACUAAUAUUGGAGAUUCUUGAUAGAUUAGAACUUACUCUAAGUGAAAGAGAUGUGUUGGGUUUGAGAGAAGGUGGGAUCGGAAAGACCACACUUACUCCUCCUAUAAGGGCUUUUCUAGGUUCUGGAGUUGUGGGUGCAAAACCCAGUUCUUCAUUUUGUUUGGAAACAGGACUGGAAUUCAAUGCUAGUUGUCAUGGAUUUUGGAUGGAAUCUUUGCCCAUGGAAAGUUGAGUACAUGCAGCUUAUAAUUGUGACACAAUGAUCGGCUUUAUUUGUCACUCAGUUUAAGAAAAAUGUUGGAGGCAUUUUGUUACUUAUUGUAAAACAUGACACUGAGUUUGCAUUGCUGUAUAGAUGAAGUAGUUUUGUUUGGACUCUGUAGAACUCUUAUUAGAAUGGAGUCUCUCACUAUAUAAUUCUUGUGUUAGCAGGAAGAUGUGGAUGGGUCCAAAGGAAGUCAAAAUGGAACAAUAAGUGAAGAGAGUCCGGCUAAUCCAGUUGAUGGGCCUGACACUUGUUCAUUUACUGCAUUUUUCUACUCACUUUUAUCAUCAUCAGAGUCGGGAGAUAAGAGUAAAGUUCAGAUGUCGAGACAACAAGUAUCAAGUCCUGCUGAAGCAAGGAACAAAUGACACAUUUCUUUUCACAAAUACACCUGGUCAUCCUGUUAUAUAUGGCCCUACAGGUGCCAACCGCUAUAUCACAUUGUGCGCUACUGACGUUUUAGCUAUUGGUGGGGGGUGGUCAUUGCACUCUAUUUGAACAGUGAUCUAUUGAGUGGAUCAAGUUCAGUUUCAGAAACCUAUGGGAAUCCAUGUCUUGCAAACUCAGAAGACUUUGAUAUUAAAGAAGUAGAGUUAUGAGGUUUUGUGUCUUCUACUAAGUAUGAGGAAGUACUUGCUCAAAGCUGUAUGGAGGCACCUGGUAUUUGCCAAUGGUGAAUGCUUCAUUUGGAACUCAUUUUACUGUGGUGGCUAGUAUCAUCACCUUAGCUGAGGCUUAUUAUUGUUACAUUAUAUGGAUGACUUUCCUUUUACAGUAUGUAAAUACAAGUCUAUCAUGUAUAUAAAGAAUACAUAAGCGCUGUCUGCAAGCAAUUUUGAUUAGAUAGUGAUU